rnacentral:rRNA from 1 species
GAUGAACGCUGGCGGCGUGCCUAAUACAUGCAAGUCGAGCGAACAGACGAGGAGCUUGCUCCUCUGACGUUAGCGGCGGACGGGUGAGUAACACGUGGAUAACCUACCUAUAAGACUGGGAUAACUUCGGGAAACCGGAGCUAAUACCGGAUAAUAUAUUGAACCGCAUGGUUAAAUAGUGAAAGACGGUUUUGCUGUCACUUAUAGAUGGAUCCGCGCCGCAUUAGCUAGUUGGUAAGGUAACGGCUUACCAAGGCAACGAUGCGUAGCCGACCUGGGAGGGUGGUCGUCCACACUGGAACUGAGAAACGGUCCAGACUCCUACGGGAGGCUGCAGUAGGCGAUCUUCCGCAAUGUGCGUAUGCCUGACGGAGCAACGCCGCGUGAUUGAUGAAGGUCUUCGGUUCGUAAAACUCUGUUAUUAGUGAUGAACAAAUGUGUAAGUAACUAUGCACGUAUUGACGGUACCUUAUCAGAAAGCCACGGCUAACUACGUG